UGCAGGUGCCCUGUGGCUGGUUAUUCAUGUGUGACUCCCUGAGUUUGAGAUAGCCUCUCAAGGCACAAUUCGUUCUUUAUCUUCUUUUAAAGCCUUGAUGCAUGGUGCAUGUUCCAUAUUGGUAGUCUGCAGAUGGUGAGGUAUAAGCAAGAAUUGGAUGAUUUCCCCAUUAACUGGCCCGUCUUUUUGUAUUGUCCCUUUUUGACAUCCUAGGUGAGUGUCAUUAAUUUCUGUCCACUCUGGCUACAGAAAGGUCCAGUUUAAAGCUUUAGCUCAGUCCUACUCUGCCCAGCACAGACCUGACCCUUGCCCUGGGAGGUCUGAGGGGGAGGGAGCUUGGUCUACCCUGAAGAUGCUUCCUCUUCCUCUUUUUCCUCUCUUCUUCGGGACACUACAGGGAGUACCUUUGUCUUCAUGGCUGCCCUGGGAGACAAGCAUCCCCUGAAGACACUUGUUUUUGGCCUCUGCUGCUGCUCUGCUUCUAUCUGGUGGAUUAAGGAAAACCAGAGCUCACAGCCCUGGUGGAAAGUUACAACUGGGAUUCAAGUUCACAAAGAGCAGAAGACACAGCCAAUGGCUCCUGGCUUCACUAUUCACCCAGCCCAGGCCACUAGCGGUCCUGUAAUUAAUUGUCUUCUUCUGUGACAUAUUGCUGCCCCAGAAAUAGCCAUCUGGGUGUACCCCACAUUAAACAAGACCAUUCUGUGAAAACUGAGACUUGUUGAAAUGACAAAUGAGAGACCAUCAUUUAAUUAACC
rnacentral:lncRNA from 1 species